rnacentral:lncRNA from 1 species
GUUUGAUAUCAAGAGGAUAAAGGAAGAAGUCUUAUUGUCCAUAUGAUGACAUGAAGACAUGCUAUUAGAUGGAUAACACGAGGCUGUCCUGUGUGUGGUGUGUGUGAGUGAGAGACAGAGAGACAGACUGGACUGAUGAUUUCAUUGUUUUUUUGAUAACUCCCAGUCAAGGAAACUGUGUGUCAUCAUCUUAUCUGGAAUCUAUAGCCUCAGACUUGCCUAUAUCACUGAAAAAAAGAAGAAACUGAGGCAAUCAAGGUUAAGUGACAAGGUUAAGCUAGAAGUGUCUAAGGCCAGAUUUGAACUUGGGAAGAUGAGCUGCCUCUUUUAGUGGGGAACAUGAUGCUUUUUUCUUGCCAAGAAAAUCUCGGACCAGACCAAGGAAAUGUGCACUCUGGGGAGCCUGAUUUCUAUAUCUUAUCUCUCCUCUUUUCUUUAUUGCUUGUGAGGGUCAUGGGUGAAGCUGCUUCAGAUGGAUUCUGAGGGCACAGCUGUCUCCCCUUCUCAACUCAAGAAAGUAAUGAUGAUGGUGGCAAUACACCAGUUGAGACAUUUGAUAACAAGAACUUAAAUGAAACCUCUGCCAUUAAAGUCACUCAACUAUUGUAAAAGCAUGAUACAAACUUUGAGAGAUAUGUCGUGGGGGAAAAUGUGAUUAGAAGUGAGACAAAUUAAAGGUAAAGUGUUUUCUGUUCUUUGUUUUUUUCCAUUAAAAAAUACAGGGGCAGCUGGGUGGCUCAGUGGCUUGAGAUACAGGACUGGAGACAGGAGAUCCUGGGUUCAAAUCUGACCUCAGACAUUUCCCAGCGGUGUGACUUGGGACAAGUCACUUAACCCCAAUUGCCUAGCCCUUACCACUCUCCUACCUUGGAACCAAUACUUAGUUUUAAUUAUAAAAAAGAAGGUAAGGUUUUUUCUUUUUAAAAUGCAAUUAUUUGACCCAGAACUACCUCAAACUGCAAAUCCUCCCUCCCCCCCCUUCCCCAACCAAUACCAGCUGCUUCAGAACUGGAUUAAGAUGUCAAUGACCCCCUGAAGCCUCACACUUUGAGCAGCUCUUCUCUACUGCUCUCUGGGGAACCUUCACCUUCUCAUUCCUCUUCAUCUGGGCAGCCAGCCCAAUGGUUUGGCCUUCUUUCCUUUGAACCCUCAACAUUCCUGGGCUAAAUUUUUCUCCUUUUGGUGCUAUUAAUUGCAUGAUUGUUUGGGAAUUCACAAACUUUAUUACAUCUUAGACUAUGCUAGCAAACUUUCUAGAUUCUGUAAGUUGAGUUAUUAUCCUAGAGAGGGAGAAAGAUCAAUUGGUAAUCAGAGAAGUGUAUUUCCAUGAUGCCAGUGCGAU